rnacentral:rRNA from 1 species
UCGACGAGGUAGCAAUACCUAGUGGCGGACGGGUGAGUAACGCGUGGGAAUCUGCCUUUAGAUGGGGGAUAACGGGUCGAAAGACUCGCUAAUACCGCAUAUGACGAAAGUUGAAAGGAGUAAUCCGUCUAAAGAUGAGCCCGCGUCCGAUUAGCUAGUUGGUAGAGUAAAAGCCUACCAAGGCGACGAUCGGUAGCUGGUCUGAGAGGAUGAUCAGCCACAAUGGGACUGAGACACGGCCCAUACUCCUACGGGAGGCAGCAGUGGGGAAUUUUACGCAAUGGGCGAAAGCCUGACGUAGCGACACCGCGUGAGCGAAGAAGCCCCUUGGGGUGUAAAGCUCUGUCAGCUGGAACGAAAAAAAUGACGGUACCAGCAGAGGAAGCAUCGGCUAACUACGUGCCAGCAGCCGCGGUAAGACGUAGGAUGCAAGCGUUGUCCGGAUUUAUUGGGCGUAAAGAGUUCGUAGGUGGUUUGUUAAGUUUGGUGUUAAAGAUUGGGGCUCAACCCUGAAACUGCACUGAAUACUGGCAGACUCGAGUGUGGUAGAGGCUAGUGGAAUUCCCAGUGUAGCGGUGAAAUGCGUAGAUAUUGGGAAGAACACCGGUGGCGUAGGCGACUAGCUGGGCCAUAACUGACACUGAGGAACGAAAGCCAGGGGAGCGAAUGGGAUUAGAUACCCCAGUAGUCCUGGCCGUAAACGAUGGAUACUAGGCGUAUCGGGUAUCGACCCCUGAUGUGCCGCAGCUAACGCGAUAAGUAUCCCGCCUGAGUAGUACGGCCGCAAGGUUGAAACUCAAAGGAAUUGACGGGGGCC